rnacentral:rRNA from 1 species
CCUACGGGUGGCAGCAGUGGGGGAUAUUGCACAAUGGGGGGAACCCUGAUGCAGCGACGCCGCGUGGGUGCAGGAGUAUUUCGGUAUGUAAAGCCCUAUCGGCAGGGAAGCAAUUGGACGGUACCUGACUAAGAAGCCCCGGCUAACUACGUGCCAGCAGCCGCGGUAAUACGGAGGGGGAAAGCGUUAUCGGAAUUCACGGGGUGUAAAGGAAGGGUAGACGGCAAUGCAAGCCAGGGGGGAAAGCCCGGGGCCCACCACCGGGACUGCCCUUGGAACUGCAUGGAUGGAGUGCGGGAGGGGCAGGCGGAAUUCCUGGUGUAGCGGUGAAAUGCGUAGAUAUCAGGAGGAACACCGGCGGCGAAGGCGGCCUGCUGGACCGCGACUGACGUUGAGGCUCGAAAGCGUGGGGAGCGAACAGGAUUAGAUACCCUUGUAGUC